GACGAACGCUGGCGGCGUGCUUAACACAUGCAAGUCGAACGCUGAAGCCCUUUCGGGGGUGGAUGAGUGGCGAACGGGUGAGUAACACGUGGGUAAUCUGCCCUGCACUCUGGGAUAAGCCUUGGAAACGGGGUCUAAUACCGGAUAGGACACAUCGCCGCAUGGUGUGUGUGUGGAAAGUUCCGGCGGUGCAGGUUGAGCCCGCGGCCUAUCAGCUUGUUGGUGGGGUGAUGGCCUACCAAGGCGACGACGGGUAGCCGGCCUGAGAGGGUGACGGGCCACACUGGGACUGAGACACGGCCCAGACUCCUACGGGAGGCAGCAGUGGGGAAUCUUGCGCAAUGGGCGAAAGCCUGACGCAGCAACGCCGCGUGGGGGAUGACGGCCUUCGGGUUGUAAACCUCUUUCGACCGGGACGAAGGGUGACUGACGGUACCGGUAGAAGAAGCACCGGCUAACUACGUGCCAGCAGCCGCCGUAA
rnacentral:rRNA from 1 species